GAUGAACGCUGGCGGUGUGCCUAAUACAUGCAAGUCGAGCGGACUGACGGGAAUCUGUGUCCUCUGGGGUUAGCGGCGGACGGAUUAGGAACACGGGGAUAGCCUGACUAUAGGAAUGGGUUAACAUCGGGAAACCGGAGCUGAGGCCGGAUAAUAUUUGGAACCGCAUGGUUCAGAAUUGAAAUACGGUCUUGCUGUGACUUAUAGAUAGAACCGCGCUGCAUUAGCUAGUUGGUAAGGUAAUGGCUUACCAAGGCAACGAUGCAUAGCCUACCUGAGAGGGUGAACGGCCACACUGGAACUGAGACCCGGUCCAGACUCGUCCGGGAGGCAGCAGUAGGGCAUCUUCCGCAAAGCGCGAAAGCAUUACGGAGCAACGCCGCGUGACUGAUGAAGGUCUUCCGCUCGUAGAAAUCAGUUACUAGGGAAGAAAAUAUGUUUAAGUAACUAUGCACAUAUUGACGGUACCUAAUCAGAAAGCAACGGCUAACUACGUG
rnacentral:rRNA from 1 species